rnacentral:rRNA from 1 species
GACGAACGCUGGCGGCGGGCCUAACACAUGCAAGUCGAACGAGUGGCGGACGGGUGAGUAAUGUCUGGGAAACUGCCUGAUGGAGGGGGAUAACUACUGGAAACGGUAGCUAAUACCGCAUACCAUCGGAUGUGCCCAGAUGGGAUUAGAGAGUAGGUGGGGUAAAGGCUCACCUAGGCGAAGAUCCCUAGCUGGUCUGAGAGGAUGACGAGCAACACUGGAACUGAGGAACGGUCCAGACUCCUACGGGAGGAAGAAGUGGGGAAUAUUGAACAAGGGGCGCAAGCCUGAUGCAGCCAUGCCGCGUGUGUGAAGAAGGACUUCGGAUUGUAAAAUACUUUCAGCGGGGAGGCGUUACCCGCAGAACAAGCACCGGCUAACUCCGUGCCAGCAGCCGCGGUAAUAC